rnacentral:piRNA from 1 species
UGAAAAAAGUUAGAAAACAUU